UGCAGGCUGCAACUCGCCUGCAUGAAGUUGGAAUUGCUAGUAAUCGCGGAUCAGCAUGCCGCGGUGAAUACGUUCCCGGGCCUUGUACACACCGCCCGUCACACCAUGGGAGCCGGUAAUACCCGAAGUCAGUAGCCUAACCGCAAGGGGGGCGCUGCCGAAGGUAGGAUUGGCGACUGGGGUGAAGUCGUAACAAGGUAGC
rnacentral:rRNA from 1 species